rnacentral:rRNA from 1 species
UUCCAGACUCCUACGGGAGGCAGCAGUGGGGAAUAUUGCACAAUGGGGGGAACCCUGAUGCAGCGACGCCGCGUGAGCGAUGAAGUAUUUCGGUAUGUAAAGCUCUAUCAGCAGGGAAGAAAAUGACGGUACCUGACUAAGAAGCCCCGGCUAACUACGUGCCAGCAGCCGCGGUAAUACGUAGGGGGCAAGCGUUAUCCGGAUUUACUGGGUGUAAAGGGAGCGUAGACGGCUGUGCAAGCCAGAUGUGAAAGCCCGGGGCUCAACCCCGGGACUGCAUUUGGAACUGCGUGGCUUGAGUGUCGGAGAGGCAGGCGGAAUUCCUAGUGUAGCGGUGAAAUGCGUAGAUAUUAGGAGGAACACCAGUGGCGAAGGCGGCUUACUGGACUGCAACUGACGUUGAGGCCCGAAAGCGUGGGGAGCAAACAGGAUUAGAUACCCCAGUAU